UACGAGAAAACCCAACAAUCUUGGUGUGGAAACAGCAAACGGACAUGAUUAUUUUCUCCCUAUAAAAUAAACCAUAAAAUGACCGUAGUGACCUUAUUUCUCUUUCUGCGGGUAUUUCACCUGAAAGCCACCGGAAGGGAGGAAGAAAGGAAUAAAGGGAAGGGUCAGCCAGGAAACUCAGCACGGAGCAGACAAUGGCUCCAUCGAAGGGUGUUGUGAUUACAGUGCCAGUGCUUGUGCUCUCAGUAGCUUCGGCUGCCAUCUUCCUCUUCUUCCUCUUCUCCUCUCUCUCCUCAUGCUCCUGCCCCACUACCACCACCACCUCCAUCGCCACUACCGCCACCACCGACACCGCCACCGCCUCCUCCUCCGCCAACAAGAGAUCAACAACGGAUCGAAUAUCUCCAACAGCUGAAGACAUUGAGUGGGUGAGAGAUCAAAUCCAGCGGAACAACCUACAUAUGCAACUCAAUGUCCUCCGCAAGGGCAUCAACCCUCGCACCCGCGCCCAACAGCUCCAAGAUUUGAACCAAUUCAAGGGUAUCUCUCAUUACGAAGGAGAUGAAGCGAACAACCACACUUCCUUGCCAUGCCCUGGGGAAUUGCUCGUGGAGGAGCACCAUAGCAACUACGGGGAACCGUGGGCUGGAGGUCGCGAUGUGUUUGAGUUCCUUGCAGAGUCAGUUCAGCUGAAGCCCGACUCACGCGUCCUUGAGAUUGGAUGCGGUACCCUUCGUGUUGGAUUGCAUUUUAUCCGUUACCUGGUUCCAGAGCACUUCCAUUGCCUAGAAAGGGAUGAGCUUUCUCUUAUGGCGGCAAUUAGGUAUGAGCUCCCAUCUCAGGGUUUAUUGUACAAGCGCCCAUUGAUUGUGAAAGGUGAGGAUAUGGAAUUCCGUAGGUUUGGAUCAGGAUUCUUGUAUGAUUUGAUCUAUGCAAGUGCUGUUUUCCUUCACAUGCCUGAUAAGCUCGUUUGGGUGGGAUUGGAGAGGCUGGUGACAAGGUUAAAGCCUUAUGAUGGCCGGAUCUUUGUCUCUCACAAUAUAAAGUUCUGUUCUAGGUUGGGAGGAGAGGAGUGUACAAAGAGGUUGACAAGUAUAGGGCUUGAGUAUCUUCGAAAACAUACUCAUGAUAGCUUGCUCUUCAACCACUAUGAGAUUUGGUUUGAGUUCGGACGAUCUAAGGUUUAAAACUUGUGAUUCAUUUCUUGCAAAUUGAGAUUCAGUUGAUUGUGAUUCACAAUGAAGGAUGCUCAAUGUAGCUUUUAUGUGCUCGGGUUAACAAACCUUCCAUGACAUUUUGAGGUCAAUGAAGCUAGAAUUCUAACCGAGAAGCUGCUGAUAUGCCAGUGGACCAAGAAUUUGCAAAGAAGUUGGGACUCAACUGUGUAAUUAUGGAAAUUUGCAUCUGUAACUUUACGUGUGAGGUUUUCAGGAAAAAAAAAAUGGCAGCCCCCUUGGUAUAUGAUGCUAUUAGGUCCCACACCAUACCCAUUAUGUUGUUGGAUUUUUUCUCAAGUGCUUGAGAGAGAGAGACAGUGAACCAAGAAGCUUCAUAGCCUCACAACCCCUCCCCGUGGGAACGGUUGUCUGUAGCGCAUGCUACAGGGUGUGCAGAUCCAAGGGCUGGGAGCCCUCAGAUGCAGAGCACAAGGCAUGGAUGCACAUCCCAAGGUGCUACCAGUCCUCGCAUCUGCAUUACAUGUCGUGUUGGUGUUGUGCAACCGAGGAUCCCGAUCUCCCCCCUUUCUUUCUUUCUCCCACUAUUUUUUUUUCUUCUUUUUUUGCUAUCUCAUUGGCCUGUUAUCAUUAGAAGGAUCUGGAGUUAGAUUGAGACGAAUCUAGCAUCAUUGCAGUCCUUUAUACAAAGUGAACAAUAUCUUUACUAUACUCAUUGAAAUAGGAUGAGAUCUUCAAUUA